rnacentral:rRNA from 1 species
GAUGAACGCUGGCGGCGUGCCUAACACAUGCAAGUCGAACGGAGAUUACGGACGGAAGUUUUCGGAUGGAAGCCUGUAAUUCUUAGUGGCGGACGGGUGAGUAACGCGUGGGCAACCUGCCCUAUACAGGGGGAUAGCAGCUGGAAACGGCUGGUAAGACCGCAUAAGUCGGUUAAAUCGCAUGAUUUGAUCGGGAAAUGAGCAAUCAGGUAUAGGAUGGGCCCGCGUCCGAUUAGCCAGUUGGCAGGGUAAAAGCCUACCAAAGCGACGAUCGGUAGCCGGACUGAGAGGUCGGACGGCCACAUUGGGACUGAGACACGGCCCAAACUCCUACGGGAGGCAGCAGUGGGGGAUAUUGCACAAUGGAGGAAACUCUGAUGCAGCGACGCCGCGUGAGUGAAGAAGUAUUUCGGUAUGUAAAGCUCUAUCAGCAGGGAAGAUGAUGACGUACCUGACUAAGAG